CGAGGUGUGGCUCAGUGGUAGAGUGCUUGCCUAGCACAUAUGAGGCACUGGGUUCAAUCCUCAGCAUCACAU
rnacentral:tRNA from 1 species